rnacentral:rRNA from 1 species
AGCGAACGCUGGCGGCAGGCCUAACACAUGCAAGUCGAACGAACUCUUCGGAGUUAGUGGCGGACGGGUGAGUAACCGGUGGGAACGUGCCUUUUGGGUCGGACUAACUCAGGGAAACUUGUGCUAAUACCGAAUGUGCCCUUCGGGGGGAAGAUUUAUCGCCAUUAGAGCGGCCCGCGUCUGAUUAGCUAGUUGGUGAGGUAACGGGUCACCAAGGCGACGAUCAGCAGCUGGUUUGAGAGGAUGACCAGCCACACUGGGACUGAGACACGGCCCAGACUCCUACGGGAGGGAGCAGUGGGGAAUCUUGCGCAAUGGGCGAAAGGCUGACGCAGCCAUGCUGCGUGAAUGAUGAAGGUAUUAGGAUUGUAAAAUUCUUUCAACGGGGACGAUAAUGACGGUACCCGGAGAAGAAGCCCCGGCUAACUUCGUG